UAUCAGUACGGUAUCAGUCUUCUUCCUGCUAACCCAAUGUUUACAGCUGCUAUGAUAGGCGGCAGCAGGAUGGACUUCCACAGUGCUGUCGGUCUACGUGCUUCUAAACUAGCUGUUGCUUGGCACUGGCUACAGCCCUGCAGCCCUCCUCCGCUGUGUGUUACAGCUCUUAGCAGCGGGAAGGCACCCAGGAACCGAGCACUCUCCGAGGGAUCUCCAGGCUACCUGAUCAGCGCAAAUGAGCCUCUUUUAUAUCCCUAAACAGACGGGCUUGUGCUGAUCAGUAGUUUCUAAUUGGUCCUCCCACCACCACUACAACCAAUAACUGUCCCUUGCUGUGUGCGGCUCGUGGUCAGCGCGAGGAUACUCGUUUUGAUUCCCUGCAGCUCAUUACUCUGCCAGCACGCGAUUAGCAUGAGGGCCCACUUUGCCGCCAUGCAGACCAUCACUACAGCAGCUUGCAAUCACUGCAGCAUGAGGGACCAAUUAAAAUGUCAUACUACCAGACUCCAGUACGCUGAAGUCACAUGGGCAUGAUGGGGCACAGCACGGAUGCCGGCGCCGAAAUUCUGGAGGUGGACUUUUGCACUGCUUGUUUGGGAUAUAAUCACUCUCCCACGACAAGUCCCAGGAGCCAGCAAAUGCCUAUGAUGUCAGCAGGUCUACGGACUGUGCGGCGGUGGCGGGAGAUUGAUGCACGUGUGUUUUUUCUUCAGGGAUUAACACAAAAUGAUGCUUGGGGCUACUAACUAGCCAAGGACAGUUGCCCUUGGGAGAAGUUGCUGGUCCUGAGAUCUACUCUUACAACCGUCCUGUGCGUUUGCCCUUGCAACUUGUUGAUUGUCAUAGAGAAGCAGACACUUACAGGAUAUUGCAGGCACUUGAAUUGAAAAGGAGAAUUGUUGGGGAUAAGGGGUAUACCUGGUAUACAUGGAGCACCUCACCUGUGCCAGAUCCCAUUAAUUAGGUUUCUCUGUAGAGCAUUCUCUUUAAGUCUGGUUCUGUUAAAUAAGUUGGGCAAAGUAAAGUCCGGCAAGAAGCAUGAUGGGAAUACCAACUUUCAGUGCGUGGAGUGUCAAGUUCUGUUUUUUUCUUUAUUGCACCUCUCCCUGAUGUCAUACAUACCUCAGUUUCUUUUUAGCUCACUAAGCUAUACAAUAGUGAAAACGCAAUCCAAAUUCAUCCAGUACUUUUUGCGUGAAUCGGGAAAUGAUCUUAUAUACAGAGAAAAAAUCAGAUUUUUUUUUUUACAUCUCCAUAGUUCAUAAACAGCCCAAAAAGUCUUUUUCUCACAAAAAAACCUUCAUAUGUACAGACACAACCCUUACAGUUUUAUUAUAUGUAUAGAUAGCUGCCUGUUGCAGUAUUUAAAAAAUAAAGUUUUACUGUGAAAUAA